AUGGAGCCUCUGAGCCGACGCAGGGACGAAGUCAUGGGCUUCCUCGGCCCGGGAGUCGACGAGGGCGGGGAAGAGCCGCAGGAAACCCAGCCUGUGGCCGUGUCGCUGACCCAGGAGGGAGCGGCGGCCGAGUUCACACCUGACCACGGCGGGGGAGCAGACCAGGUCAUGGAGGAAGCUGACGGCGAGGGUGACGGUGACGGCGAGGGUGACGGUCAGGGCCAGCGCGACGGUGACGGUCAGGGCCAGCGCGACGGUGAAGACGGUCAGGGCCAGCGCGACGGUGACGACGGUCAGGGCCAGCGCGACGGUGACGGUCAGGGCCAGCGCGACGGUGACGGUGAAGGCCAGCGCGACGGCGAGGAGGCAAUGGGUGACGAGGCCGCGGGAUCUCCACUGCCGGCGGGCGACGGGACCCCCCAGGGGCACGGCGACCAGGGCCCAGUGCCAGGGCAGCCGCCCCAGGCCACCGUCGCGUGUCCCCUGCCGGGCAACGGGCAGCAGGCGGGCCAGCGCAUCGUGUUCAGCCGCGUGCAGCUGCAUGAGCUGGAGAGCGUGUUCCAGCGCACCCAGUACCCCAGCGCGCCUACGCGCCAGGAGCUUGCAAGAUUCAUGGAUGUGUCUGAAGCCAGAGUGCAGGUUUUGUUAAAGAACAGGAGGGGCCANNNNNNNNNNNNNNNUUUAGGUUUGUCAAGAACAGGAGGGCCAAGUGGAGGAGACACCAGAGGGCAGUGAGGUUCAGAACCAUGCCCCCCGUGGCCCUGGCCCCCCCCAUCAUCAUUAACUUGGGUGGACCCUACCAUAGCAUCCUCAUUCAGGAGCCGAAUCGCAUAUGGGUUCUUCAGGAGCCACUGCUGCUGGGGCCACCUCAGCCGCUCGUGCCAUCCUUUCCUGUGGUCUUCUUGCCUCCUCUGCCCUGGCUUCCUCCACCUCUCCCUCUGUGCGGCUACCCUCCCGUGGCCCUCCCGUGGCCGGUCCGGCUUUCCUACCAUCCCUAGUUCUGCUGUAAGCCCUCUGCCCCGAAAAGGGCCUCCGUGACCGCUUUUUCCCCACGGGAAAUGCGCUUUGCAGCGCAUGCGGAUUCUGUGUAGCUCACCACGGAGAGCAGCGCGCUACCUGCCGCCUGCUCGGUGUAUUCAAGAGAAGUGCACAUUCACUGACCCUGUCUCUUUCUGUCUCUUCAAUAAAGUUGUGAAUGAGUUGUCUGCGUAUUUAUUU
rnacentral:lncRNA from 1 species